AGGCCUCCUCUACGCUGACCUCAUUCCACGAACACUUCACUGACCACUUGACAGUCCUGGUGUUUUUUGCUGCUUCCUUGGUUUUCACAACGGCGCGGCGGCCUCCACUACAAUGGCGUCUUAUGUGUCUCCUUAAACCUCUACUUUAUACUCAAAUAAUGGUGGCGAAGCGAGGCGACCGGACACGGUGAUACGAUGGCCAGUUUGUGACCGCCACCAUCACCGCCACGGCCACCAGCAGCCCGAGUCCCGCUGUGCACAUCUGCGCUGCCGGAAAGUCGUGUAGCAGAGAGAAGACAGAGACUGGUGGAACCCCUGGUAGCAUGCGAGCCGCGUGUGUUCCUUUCACGUCAGGGGAAAGUUUUAGCAGCCUCGGUGACCAAAUUACUGAGGCGUGGCCCACAAUCCGGCGCUGUCGCUCAGGGCUGCGGUCUGCGCCGGCACGACACUUAAGCUUUAUUGUGCAGGUGUUGCUUUGCCAACCCUCUCAACCUCACCUGUCUGAGGUCUGAGCUAUGAAAUGGGUCUGAAAAGCGUCUCAUUUUUGCUGACAGGCUCUAGUGAAAGUUAUUGGAGUUUUAAGGGAGAUUUCAUUAUUCAAGUGAUAUAAACGUUUAACUGUGAUUCUACAUCACCACCGAGGAAACUCACUUGCGAACCUUACUUCACAUCCUCUCAACAGCAGCUAUCAGUUAUUGCCAUCAGGUAAAAGGUUAAGGUCAAUGAACUGUAGGACUUCCAGAUAUUGUAAAUCUUUUGUGCCAGACAGCAUUAGAUCACUGAACGAAAGAUAGCCAUUUUUUAUAUACCAAUAUGACUGUAUGUGGGAGGCCAUUAAGUGUACUGGGUAUAGUAUGUAUGUAUGUAUGAGUGUCAUGCAUUGUACUGUUUGAUUGUUCAUGAUACUUUUAGCUGGAGACACACAAAACAAAUUUUUAUGUAUUAUAUACAUGAACAAUAAAGUAUUAUCUAUCUAUCUAUCUAUCU